UCAGGAUAAAAUCAGGUCAAUGAUUAGAAAUCAAUGGUGUUCCUUGUUAUUCUCUUAUCCCCUGCAUUGUAAAUGUCUUCUUUAUGCAGAUAGGUUAACAGGCUAGGAAUUUAGUGAGGAGAUAAUUGAUCAAUUGAUGGGGGUUAAAAAUUGUCCAAAUUCUAGUCACAUGUUUUGAGGGACCACAGCAACAACAUUAUAUUUCAUUUGCAGGCCAUUAUUUAGUAUGUGAUGACAGUGUCUAGAUAAGUAGACUGUUUUAUCAAAAAAUGUGAGAGUGAAGGAGGAGGUUUGAUUUGUAAUCUGGCAUUUGGGUGCCACUUUUAAGAGUCUGUGCAGGAGCAUAGAUUGUUUUUGUUUGUUUUUAAAGAUAUAUUUAACAAUUUAUCUCGGUGCAGUAAGGAUAUAGCAAUUUUGAAAGACUUAAAAUUAAAAGCAAAAUUACAUUUUAGUUCUGACAUAUGCCAGCUAACAUGAGGAUGGCAAAUAAAUAAA